rnacentral:rRNA from 1 species
GACAGAGGGUGCAAACGUUGUUCGGAAUUACUGGGCGUAAAGCGCGUGUAGGCGGCUGUGCAAGUCGGAUGUGAAAGCCCUGGGCUCAACCCAGGAAGUGCAUUCGAAACUGCAGAGCUGGAGUCCCGGAGAGGAAAGCGGAAUUCUCGGUGUAGAGGUGAAAUUCGUAGAUAUCGAGAGGAACACCGGUGGCGAAGGCGGCUUUCUGGACGGUGACUGACGCUGAGACGCGAAAGCGUGGGGAGCAAACAGG